rnacentral:rRNA from 1 species
GACGUAGGGUGCAAGCGUUGUCCGGAUUUACUGGGCGUAAAGGGCGCGUAGGCGGCUCGUUAAGUGUGAAGUGAAAUCCCCAGGGCUCAACCCGGGAACUGCUUUACAUACUGGCGGGCUGGAGGAUUGGAGAGGCUUGUGGAAUUCCUGGUGUAGCGGUGAAAUGCGUUGAUAUCAGGAGGAACACCCAUGGCGAAGGCAGCAAGCUGGCCAAUUUCUGACGCUGAGGCGCGAAAGCGUGGGUAGCAAACAGG